rnacentral:rRNA from 1 species
GACGAACGCUGGCGGCGUGCUUAACACAUGCAAGUCGAACGAAGUGGCGAACGGGUGAGGAAGGCGUAAUCAAUCUGCCCUUCAGAGGGGGACAACAGGUGGAAAAGACUGCUAAUACCGCAUAAUGAAGGAGGGGAUUGGGUCGGAUUAGCUAGUUGGAGGGGUAACGGCAAACCAAGGCGAUGAUCAGUAGCCGGUCUGAGAGGAUGAACGGCGCCAUUGGGACUUAGACACUGCCCAGACUCCUACGGGAGGCAGCAGUGGGGAAACUUCCGCAAUGGGCGAAAGUCUGACGGAGCAGCGCCGCGUGAGUGAUGACGGCCUUCUGGUUGUACAGCUCUGUUACUCGUGUCGCGGUACCGGAAUAGAAAGCCACGGCUAACUACGUGCCAGCAGCCGCGGUAAUAC